ensembl:lncRNA
GCUGUGCGAUGUUCGCCCUCAGCGUCGUGGAAAAAAAGGCAAACGAGAGGGGAUGUACUCUUUAACGUUGCUUUAUAACCAAGUUUCCCAUCCUUCUCUCUUCUAUCCCUCUUCUCUGUCUCCAAUGCCUCUUUUCUUUGGGCUUCAGGAGCCCAAAUACCCCGGGACUCGUCUCCUGGGCAACGUUACCGCUUCGUUACCGCGCGACCACAAGCGGAGUGUGCUCGGAGCCUUCUGGGAAAUGUAGUUCGGCCACCCCGGGGCCCCGGCCCAGACUAAUGGCUCUGCCUCCUCGGGCCCCAGAACCAACGGCUGGAUGUGCGGUCACGUGACCGGCCCGUCUGGAAGCCGGGGGAGUGGGGGCUGUUCUGCGCAAGGCCACCGGCAGGCCCAGGCCGCGGACGGUCGCAGAGCCGGCGCCGGCCCGUCUCCGUGGUAACCGGCUCGCCGCAGAGGCCUCUGGGAAUUCUAGUUGGGCGGGGUGGGGCCCGCGCCGCUGCCGUUAGCGCUCGCCGCCGCGGUGAGAGCGGGCGCGGUAGCCGCAGCCCGGCCCGGCCUUUGGCGGCGAGGGUUCCCAGCGUCCGGGGCGGGCUCCUCCGCGGUACCGCAGCCACCGAGCAUCCAGGCAGAAAGUUUUUGAAAUAUAAAGAAGCAUUUCUCUGAAAUUUAACCCUCCCACAGUACAAGUGACCUUCCUUGGGGACUUUUCCAGCCAAGAAUGAUCACAGCCGCGAGGGGGUCUGUAUCCUUGGACCCCCAGGCCCCUCAAAAGCAGGACAGAAUUGUGGUGGUGAAGGUGGAGGCAGAGGGCCACUUUAUCCUCGCAGCCGGGAGCUGGCCCACUCGCGCUUCAGACGGUUCUACCACCAGGAGACCAGGAGAUUUGCCACCCGGUGAGGUUCUGCGAUGUCCCCAUGAGCUCUGCCACCAGGGGCUGAGGCUGGAGAGACAUCGCAAGCUGCCCAUCCUGGAGCUGCUGAUGCUGGAGCAGUUCCUGGCCAUCCUGCCCCCGGGGCUGCAGAGCUGGGGCUGGGAGCGCCCCUGGGCCGUGGAGAGGAGCUGGCUGUGACGGACCGGAAGUUUCCUGGGGGCAGAGGGCACCUCCACCAGCGGCACAAGAACCACCACACGUCGCCAGCUUCAGCCAGUGAGACCCAGUUCAAACGCGGAUCUUGGGAGCUCCACCCCCUCCAAGCCAGUGCAUCUCCUGUCACUGUUGGGAUCCAUGGGACACAGAAGGCGGGGAGGCCAAGGCAGGGAUGACAUUCAUCUGGUGCCACCAGCACGGAUGGACGGGUUGUGAAAGUAUUGAAACGCUUCUAGACUGGUUGACUUAAAGGAAGCUCUCUGAGGAAGAACCGCGUCUUGUCCUUCAUAUGUCUGCGGCCGCUCUGAGCCUGAGAGACUCAGGACGGUCUGUGGCUUGGCCACUGUGUGCGGCUGCGGACCCUGCGAUUGAAGCAGACAGAUCUGUGGUUCAGGGCAGUCGUGGAUGGAGAUGCAGACGUAGUCUGCCUUCCCUGGACGGUUGUCGGUCCUUCUCUUCCAGGACACACGGAAGGAAGGUGAUCUUGUCCCUCCCGCCACCCCUUCCCCCGCCCCCCAGGCCGGUUGGCCAUGUUGGCCCUGAUACUCAAGGUUCUGGAUGCGUGGUCCCCCUGCCUCAGCUCUGCCUGGAGACGUUGCCAGCCCCCACGCUCUGUGCUAAUCCUGGGCGUGACCUUGGGGUGGAGGAGGCAGGGAGCAAGCAAGAAAGCAGUAUUGUUGCAGGGCCGUGUGGUUAAGUAUGGCUGGUUCAGAGAGCACCUUCAAUGUCAACUUGGCGCUCUUUGAGGGCACAGCCUAUGCCUGAGGCGUCUAUGUCCGCAUGCCUGGCUCAGCACCAGCACGUAGUAGGUACUCAUCUGGGGUGGAGCAGGAGUAUGCUUCUGUAGUCACCAGCAACCACGGGGGUCACGAGGGAGCGAAGAGAACAGAUGUUAGUGACUGGCCUGAAGUCCCGCCUGUGCCUCCCCGGCCCCUGAGGGGGACAGCAUCCCCUCGGACUAUGGUGAAGUUCUGGGGUCCAAGCAAAAACGCAGAAAAGGCCCCUUGUCUUUUGUUAGCUGCAAAAUCUCCAUCUCCCCUCAAAAAAGGGGACCGAUUCUGUGUAUGCAUUCAGUUUUCCGUAGCCUUGGAGCUCUCUAACUGUCUUUAAAAGCUAAUAGGUUAGAAAUGUUCUCGGUGGGAUGGUGAGAGCUGGUCCCUAAAGUUGGCAGUCCCCAUCAGAACUGCAUUUCCUAGGAACCCAGGGCUGCUUCUCAACAGCUGACCCUUGAACCUGGUGCAGUCAGGAGCGGGUCACUGAGCCUCAGGGAAGGAGAGUGAGGUGGGGCCCUUGCUGGCGGCCUCUUCGUCUGCUUUCCACAGGCCUCGGAGCUCACCCCGUCGUCUCUGGGCAGGAGGACAGCUGGUCCCCGGGUUUUUGUGCCCCGGCCUUGGUGGACCAUGGCUGGGAUGUCAUUUAUGGUGGGUCUCCAGAAUACCCUCUCAAAGCGCUCUCCUAAGACCAAAUUGAAUAGAAAUUAUGGAAACGGGUAGAGGAGAUCGAAAUGGAUCACCAAUUGGAGACUGUCGGGAGCAGGGGCCUGGAGGGACGGGUGGCUCUGAGCUCAGCGCCCCUAGGGAACUGGUGAAGGCUGCUCCUCAGAAGCUGUUCCAAAGGCUUCUGGGAAACUUGCUCGAGAAACUAGGUCAAGAAGGAAAGCCGUAAAGUGCUUCACGGUGUGUAAAUACACCCCCAAUCCCAUUGCCCCAUGCAGAGGACACCAGUAGAGUCCCCGUCCUGACCAGCCCAGCCAGCCUCUGUGCGCUGGCAAGCUGCUCUGCUCCCUGGGCCUCUGGCCCCGCUCACCGAGAGGCUAACACUGACCAGUGCAGCAACUAGGGGGCGUGUAGUGCUGGCUCUGCCGCGUGCUCCCGGAGCAGUAUCUCAUUUCAUCCUCCCAACAGCCCUGUGACAUGGGAGGUUUCUCUCCUCGUGGUACAAAUGAGAAGGUAAGACUCAGAGAGGUUAAAUAACUUGCCCAAGGUCAUGCAGCUAACAAGUCGAGGGGCAAGCAUUCAAGUCCAGGUCUGACCCCCCAACGCCUUUCAAAGUCCUAGUUUGCCCGUGGCAGGACUUGUAAUUCCGUGCACCGGACUAACCAGUCCACUUUCCAUCCUAUGAACUGGCCAUAGUGAAAUGGUCCUGCUUCCACACUCUCUUCUUCAGCCUGUCAGGGCCGCAGAUGGUUUCUCAGAGGCCAGGAGCGGUCAGGACGGGGCGCUCCCAUCCCUAUUAAAGCCGUGUUCAUGAGGAACGUCAGGCUUUCUGCCGGCAGCCCCUGGAAUUUCUGCUGUGGGAAUUCGGGAGAUCCUCGAGUCAUGGCCCGCUCAAGAAUCGGUGGUUGUGUCUCAAUUCUGUAAGUCAGGUAUUCGGGCAGAGCAAGGCAGGAACAAUUUAGUUCUGCUCCGCCCUGUCUGAGCCUCAGCUGGAGUGGCCCCACUGACUGUAUUUGACUGGGGCGGUUUGACUGGCCAUAGGUCAGAGGCCUUGCUUCUGUCUGCCAGCUGGAUUCCUCCCCAGUUGUCCAUGAGGUGGUCACUGAAGUGGGGCUGAAAUGUCCAAAAUAGCUUUUGCUUUCAUGUCUCUGCUGCCUCUGCGUGCUCCCGUGAAGCCCCUCUCCACAGAGUAGCCUAAUCUUACAUUGUUGCUCUGGGCUCCACAAACCCCCUAUCCAUGCUCUUCUCUCCUCUCCUCUGCACCUGUCCCAGCCCACAGCCCGUGUGUGGGGAGCUGUCUCGUUCAGCCGCCGUGGCCAUGGCUGUGUUGUACCACGCGACCCUGCUCUUUGCCCCUUCCCCCCCACCCCCACACCAGUCAUUGGACCAGGAUCCGUUACAGGCUGGCCAACGAUUUUGGAAGUCACCUGACUCGAAAAUACAAGGAAAAGCCAGUCAGACCAGCCAGAGUCCCCUUUUGGGAAGUUUGAAUCAAAAAAUCAGAGAGGAUAGGCAGUGUGUGACAAGAUGUCACGAGGGCAAGUAGGGCCUGGCUGGACCAGUGUGCUGGCCAGGAUUAAAAGAAGAUUAAAUGAAGAAGAAAGUUAGAGGUUGAAGAAAAACAAAAACAAGCUCUGACUUGGAGAGGAUACCCUUACCGGGGAGGGACCAGUGAGCCUGAUUUUGGCAAGAGGAUAGAGGAGGGAAUGACGAGGGCAGAGCUGGGACUCUGUGAGAGGCAGAGAGGGCAGUCCGCCCGGGAGGCACCCUUGUGCCCCACAGCUCACUAGGUCCAGCCUCGCCUGUGUGUGUCAUUGCAGCAGGCUCUUUACUUUGGUGUCAGUUGGCUUGCUGGUGGGCAUGUGACUUCAUUCUGCCAAUAAAACUUAUGAAGGAAUAGCUGGGGGACCUUCUAGUAAGAAUUUUGCUUUUUGAUUAAAAGAGAGAGAGUGAAGAGGCCUGUCCGUUCUUCCUGCUUUGAACGUGGAUGUUUAAGGGCAUGAUACUUGGAGCUGCAGCAGCCAUUUUGAGACCAGGAGGCAACAAGACCAAGGGAAAAACCAACAUACCGAGGUUGUCUGAGCAGACAGACAAAAAGAGCCUGGGUCCUUGAUGGUAUUGUUGAGCCACUCCACCUGUCCUGGAACCCCUAUUUCCAUUCUUAUUGAUAUAUUCGUUAAAUGUCUUUAUUUUGCAAGCAGAUUUCUGCUACAUGCAGCCUAAGGCAGUCUUAACCAGUACAGCACUCCUCUGACCUCUUCAUCCUCUAACUCUGAACAACUCCUUCGAGCCCCGUGGUUCUUGGUGUAGCUCCAAAUAGAAAGUCAGCCCAAGUUCAGACUUUGGAAAUCUUACUCAUAUGGUAGGAAAUAAAAGUCAAGAUUGCUCACAGCCAACAGAGCAAUUCUGGCACUUAGCCCUGACCCAUGGCCCCUACAGGACACAGACAAGGAAAGAAAGGUAGGUUAAGGAAAGUUCUAGAUGCAUGAGUCUUCUAAAAUGGGGCUUCAUGAUGAACUUUAGGAAGAAGAUCAGUUUGUGUAUUGGGCUCAAGGAUUCAUGUCUGAGAUGCAGAACGUAAGUACAGGCCAGAAAGCCAUGGAAAGCAUGCGGAAGGAGCCGCAGUGGCUGCCUGGAAUGGGCAGGUGGUGGGCGGGUUGGAUGACUCGUGCAGAAGGAGGCCAGUGAGCACAGCAGGAGUUUAUGAGCUCCAAGUACCAGCUGGAAGGAGUUUAUGGCAGCUAGAGUGAAACCGGUGGAAAAUGAGGCCUUUUAGUUACUCCCCAGCCAGCCUGAGUGACACUGUAGAUCCUUUUAGGAAUGAGGUGCCCUGAAUUGUGGCCGUCCUGUGUGUGGGCACGCCCAUGCUCUUCGUUCUUUGUCUCUCUUCCACCACCCCCUUUUUUUUCUGCCAUUUCUUCCUGUCUUCUCCAAGCAAAGCCAGGAGCCAGGAUCCCUUCUACCUCAAUGGGAGAGUGGAUGUCGCGGGAGGCAAGGAUGUCUUGGGAAGACUGAAUCCUAGCCUGGGCAUGGCGGUUAGGUUGGGGGAGAGAAUGCAGUCGGUUGACAAGGAGCAGAGGAAGCUUUCUUCUGACCCACCUUUCAUCAGGCAGUGUGGUUUUUGUGUUUCUUCAGCACAAAAAAAUGUACCUGAUCCUUCCCUCAUGAAAUGAGAAGUUGAACUCAAGAAUGCUAGCCCUCCCUCUUUCAGUUUCUAGCUUUAGAUACGUACCAGAGAUAAACUGGCAUCCUCCUCAGGUACCCCACAAAGACAGAUUACUCCAUUCCCUUCAGAACUCUGGAAAAGUCACCCACCCGGUUCCCAUCUCGAGAUAAUCUUCAGCGGUAUAGAGAUGGGGCCCGUAGAAGUUCAUCACAUUAAUGGGGCCCAAACAUGGAUGUGUUGCGAUGAUAUUAGAAUUUGCUGCCUCAGAUUCUGCCACUAAGCCUCAGGCCUCAGCACAGUCCUUAUGCGUACCUUAUGGAUACAGAGCCCGCGUGUCUUCUGGAGUCCUGCCCCAGAGGUCAAGACCAGGCCAACCCUUUUACCUACUACAUUACUUAAUUCAUUCAGCAGAAAUGUACUGAAUGAAUACCUAGUAGAAGUAAAAGUUAAGCUUAUCAAAGCAGUGAUAAUAUUAGGAAGAUAAGUCAUUAAAGACCAAAAAAAUCCCGUGAGAUAAUCAGAGAAAGGAACGAACGCUUUGGUUGGGAUGGAGAAAGCAAAAAGUUGAAAUCCUUAGUUUGAUAGGAUUGAUGCUUUAAUGUGGAACUUAAUAAGCCCUAAGCCCCCCGUAAAGUUUCCCCCUAUAUCACUAAGGAUUCUCUGAAAUCCAGCAAGGAAGAAACUGAAGGCUUUUCCUCAUUCUUGACAAGCAAGCUUUUUCUCCAGUGUGAAUUAGCCUGAUUACUGACUAAAUAAUCGCCCGCAAUCUUGACAACACGAGAGUCUUUCUUUCCUGAGUCCUCCCAUGAUGAGAAAGAGCUACACCAGCCCCACGUGAUUUUCCACAGUGAUUAUGCUCCCAGGCUUCUCUCCAGGCUGGAUGACCCUCCACACUUCCUCUAGAUGAUUCUCCAGCUUCAUCACAAAUGACCGGCUGAGUCCGGAGCAAAUUAGCUGACGUUGUCUGCGGGUGGGACGCUGACUGAAGGUUCCUUCUCACCCAUUGUGCUCACAGGGCUCCUCUCUGCUCUGAAAUCCCAGAUGUCUAAUUAGCUCUGAGCACUGUCUGAAAGCAUUUUUACAUCCAUUACGUGCAUAUGGUUUUUCUCCAGUGUGAAUUCUCUGACGUUGAAUGAGCUUUACUUUGCUGAAAGCCCUCACAUUUAUUGCAUUUGUAGAGUUCCUAUUGCAUGUGAAUUAGCUGCUGCCAUGUGGUGCUGGGAUGCUGGCAGAUGCCUCCCGCAAACGGGGAUUCUCUCCGAGAUGAAUGCUACAAUGUUCAGUAGGAUGGGAGCCCCGAGGAAAGCUGCCUGUAUUCAUAAC